GUCGGAGAGGGUCGAAACCUGCGGGCCGGGCGCGCUCAGUCCCCCAACUCUGGCUGGCACUCCUGGCGCCUCCGGCCCUCUGAGGAAGCCUGACUCGAACGGAGCUUGGGGUAAAGAUGAAACAGAGGAGAGGUGGCCUGAGGGGAGCAGAACAACUUUGAUUUUUAGUUACUUAACAUUCUCGUCUCCUUGCUCCCCUUCCCCAAAACAACUUUCUCUUCCGGGGUCAGGCAGGACCGCCCCCGAAGCGUACCUUGCGCGCCUGGGGCGCCCAGAGCUACGAAAUUCGGUGCGAUUUUGAGGUGCCCUGGCUGCCGACAGCCCCAGGAGAGAGCGGGCCGCCCCUCCGCCCCGCCCCGCGCCCGGGCCCCGGCCGUGCCCUCUGGUCCGCGGGCACCGCCUUCAGGCUGUGUAUCCUGGGCUCACAUCUUCAGCAAUCAUUGUUUUUAUACAGAGUACUAGGAAGUCCCUCUCCCCUUACCACCAAAAGCAGGGGGGUCCCUAGAUAUGGAUGCACCCCAUCAAGAGUCCAAACGCAAAAACAAAGUAGCUAAGAUUCCACCUGUGGCCUCUGCCGGACACCACUGUGCUCUCCCGCCCCGAGUCGCCAAAGCUAAAAUCAGGAGUCACGAAAUCCACUUUUUUGCAGAAGACUGAAAGCGGAGCAUGCUCAGUGGUGAAGGGAAAUUUUGGUUUGAAACUAGUUCAUGCUACACAGACCCCCAGUUCCACCUGUGCACAGGAUAGUUUCCCACGGCGUUAGCAGGAAGACACUUCAUCAUUUCAACUCCACGAGGAGGGCUUCUUUCUUCCCAGUGAGGAUAGAUCUGAGUACCACUUUGGUUUCUAGCCUAACAUUAUCACCACCUUAACUCUCUAAAUCCCUCAACUCCAUUGCCCUACCCACUCCACCCUCUCUUUUGUUUGUCCUGCUGUGAUUUCUACAUUCCCAGAAGGAAAGGAAGGCUACCUGGACUUUGAACCUUAGCCACUCUUCCUUCCUUUUCAUAUUCCAGAAACCCAUUUUGUGCCACCUGUGGCACAAAACUGGUUACUGACUGAGAGACUACGUCUGUGAUGGUAAGCAAGUCACUGUCUUUGGAAGUUUCCUAACUGCUUACAAAAGCAACAAAAGUAAAGAAGGCUCGGCUCCCUCAUCUUAAUCUUCUGUUGACUUCAGAGAUUACCACACUCGGUUAUUUUAAUAAACACCAAGUAUGUUUCGGA